rnacentral:rRNA from 1 species
CGAGGAUCUUCGGCAAUGAGCGCAAGCUUGACCGAGCGACGCCGCGUGAGCGAUGAAGGCCUUCGGGUUGUAAAGCUCUUUAGUGGGGGAGAAAAGCCCGCAAGGGUGUGAUCUAUCCCAAAAAUAAGCACGGGCUAAGUUCGUGCCAGCAGCCGCGGUAAGACGAACCGUGCGAACGUUGUUCGGAAUAACUGGGCUUAAAGGGCGCGUAGGCGGGCUGACAAGUCUGGGGUGAAAUCCAGCGGCUCAACCGUGGAACUGCCUUAGAUACUGUCGGCCUCGAGGAAGGUAGGGGCAUGCGGAACUAACGGUGGAGCGGUGAAAUGCGUUGAUAUCGUUAGGAACUCCGGUGGCGAAAGCGGCGUGCUGGACCUUUUCUGACGCUGAGGCGCGAAAGCGAGGGGAGCAAACG